CACAAGCGGUGGAGCAUGUGGUUUAAUUCGACGCAACGCGAAGAACCUUACCUGGGUUUGACAUCCCGAUCGUAUUCCCCUGGAGACAGGGGAGUCAGUUCGGCUGGAUCGGUGACAGGUGCUGCAUGGCUGUCGUCAGCUCGUGUCGUGAGAUGUUGGGUUAAGUCCCGCAACGAGCGCAACCCUUAUCUUUAGUUACCAUCAUUAAGUUGGGGACUCUAAAGAUACUGCCCCGGUUAACGGGGAGGAAGGUGGGGAUGACGUCAAGUCCUCAUGGCCUUUAUGUCCAGGGCUACACACGUGCUACAAUGGGUUGUACAAAGGGUUGCGAACUCGCGAGAGUAAGCCAAUCCCAAAAAGCAACUCUUAGUUCGGAUUGGAGUCUGCAACUCGACUCCAUGAAGCUGGAAUCGCUAGUAAUCGUGGAUCAGCAUGCCACGGUCGAAUACGUUCCCGGGCCUU
rnacentral:rRNA from 1 species